rnacentral:rRNA from 1 species
UACAGAGGGUGCAAGCGUUGUUCGGAAUUAUUGGGCGUAAAGGGCGCGUAGGCGGUGCGGUAAGUCUGUAGUGAAAUCUCUGGGCUCAACUCAGAGUCUGCUGCAGAAACUGCCGUGCUUGAGUGUGGGGAGAGGUGAGUGGAAUUCCAGGUGUAGCGGUGAAAUGCGUAGAUAUCUGGAGGAAUACCGGUGGCGAAGGCGGCAUCCUGGACCGGCAUUGACGCUGAGGAGCGAAAAGCCAGGGGA